CUUGUAGAUCAUUCAUUAUUAAUUAAGAAGUUAAUUAAAUUAAUUUCAGUGAAACUGUUGAGACAGAGCAAUUCCUGUUGAGGUGAUAUGCCAAGAUAUGCCAGGAGAUGUCUGCUUCUUCAUUAAUUUUGUCUUGACUGAGGUUAAGUGAAUCCUUCUGAGGGUCUCUUAGCAAACCCAAGUCCUACAGUAAAGACACGCUGACAGCAAUUUAUAUUGCUGUUGAAAUAUUUUUUGGUGGUGACCAGAACUACAGAAGUACAUACUGUUGGAGAUUUCCUGAACUCCUUGGUGGGCUCAGACUGUGUGUGGAAGACUCUGUGACAGAAAAGUUCUGCUGAAAAAGUCUGUGAUUUCUGCAGCAUACAGUCU
rnacentral:lncRNA from 1 species